UUUUUUUUUUUUCUCAGCCCAAUAUAGGGUGUAUGUUUUUUGUUUGUUUAUAUUUUGCUCUCUUUUUUUGGUAGGAAAAAGAAACAAUAAAAUGUACCCAAAUGUUAUAAUUCCAUGUAUGAUAUGAAAUGGGUAGUUUGUUUUAAAAUUUGAAUACAUAAAGACCUCCUGCAUUGAGGCAUGACUAGAUAUAUUUUUAAGUUAAAAAAAUUAAGCACAUUCAUAAAAGUGAGGCUUUUAAAUCUCUUUUUAUCUUCCUUUCUCAUAGCCUCCCAGUUAGACCAGUGGCCUUCCCCUAUGCCCCCAGUGUAAUGUUCCAUUACUCCCGUUCCUAUUUUGUCACCUGAUACUUUCAUUCCUGAAAAGGCAGAGCCACAUUCUGUGGGAUUCCAUAAGUGCAAACAGCUCCAAACACAAAGGAGCUAAUGCUUCAUAGGAUCUGUGCUACCUUUUCAUGUAGGAUUUGGUUUUCUAAUGGCAGGCAAUAUUCCUAAGGCUGUCCCAAUAAUAUAGAUAUUGUGAUGACAUUAUACCUAGGAAGUUUAUAACUUUUACUUUUUCUUGCCAGAUUACAAAGACAAUUUUCAUCUUCAAGAAUAAAAUAGAGUUUAGCAAAAAUACAUGGAGUAUUGAAGUUGCCAUGUUACUGUAACUUUUGUUCUUUAUCCAUUAGCCAGCUGUUUUAGCCUGUGAUAUCCAUUAGUCUGCCGAAAAAUGUUAGCAAGAUGGAUCAUGCAAAGAAAAAUAACUUAAGAAGAGAAAGGGUGAUGAAAAGGACUGUAAAGUUUUAGAAAGACUAGCAGAUUAAUACAUUUAAAAGGCUAGUUGUAGUUGUGAAUGGGAAAUAAUAUGACAGAUUUUUAAAAACAUGGAAGGAGCACUUCAUUAUCAGAGUACGGGUGGGAGGGGUGGAGAAGGUACCUGCAAAAAUGCCAGUGUGUAAAGCAAGUGACUGAACCUGGCUAGAAUAUGAACGCAAGACCUCCAGGUACAGUCAAGUGGGCUUUUUAAGGAAAAUUUAUUAUAUAUUACACCUAUCCAUGUUUAAAGAAGAUCAUUAAAUAAUUGCAAGCUAAAAUGUGCUGUAUGUUAAUUCUGAGAUAGCUUUCUACUUGAUGUAUAUUCCUCUGAGAGUUUCUAUUUAGAAUUUCUGUUUCUGCUCUGGGACCAAUGAUAACUAUAUGAGUUCUUUCUUGUCCAUUUUUAUUUGAUUUUACUUAUUUUUAAAGCCAAUUUGCUAAUUAAUUACAAGUAAGUGAAAACUUACUUUCACAUUUGAAUGGUAAGUUUGCCUUGCUUUUUGGAAAAUGGUGAUUGUUACUACAGAAUUGAAACAAACGUCUAUUCAGACUGCAUAAGGCAUACAAUAACAUGUAAAGAUCUCAUGACAGUGUACUGAGAGUCUAAUAUACAUGCCAGUAUCGCAUGUCUUGAUGUGUUUUUGUUUGUUUUCUUAAAGAACUAAUGAAUCUGUAUAUUGUAAAAUGUGUUUUACAUGCCAAUUCAAUUUUUUUAAUGAAAGAAAAUCUGUUGAUUAUUGAAAUGGAAAAGUGCAGCUUUUCUUUAAUUUGCUUAUGUUUUCAUUCUUAAUAUUGUUCUUUUACACCACCCUUUUUAUGUUUUUGGUAAAAUUCUAUUUACAUAAUGUAGGGUACAAAUAAUGUUCUCAUUGGUAUGUUGAAGAAAGAUGUUACUCUUGGCCUCCUUCUUGUUCUCUUCCCCUGAAGACCAUACACUGAGAACUUGUAAAACAGACCAUUAUAACCCUGAGGGCAUGAUUUAAAGGUUUACAUUUUUCAUGAUUCUACAAUACCAAUGAAAUGUAACUUUUGAAAAUUCUUCACUGUUUAUUUCAUAUUUGAUACCAAGAAAACUUGGAAGAUAGCAAUCAGAAUAUAGAUGGUGGUGGACUAUACAGCUUAAAAAUUGCAUAUCAGAGAAGCCAAAUUAAAAACUUUGUAAAAGAGGUUGACAUACACAAGACUCUUACCUUCUCUAAGUGUUGACAAGGAGAUGCCACAUUCUGUUAGCAGUUGAGGAGAGCUGGAAAAUAUACAGGGUGUUGGUAUGAAGUACAAUGAACCAAUUUCCUUGUCAGCUGUCACUCAAAACCCUAACCAUUAGAAGAACCUCAUAAAGCAAACCUCCCUCUUUUCAGGCCUUAAAACCAAAGUGGCUUUCUGAUGGAUUUUGCCUGCCUGUGUAGAAGUGGAGGCAUAUUUAAAAUGAGAAACGUAUCCAUCCUUAGGAGAGAAAACAGGUAAUAGUCUUUCUCCAGUGUAAGAGUAUAUAAAAACAUCUCCUGGUUGCUUAAUCCCCAACACCCAGCUUCCUUCUUCUAAACACAUUUAUAGGGAGCAAGAGAUGGUGGGCUUCCCAUGAAUUACUAUUAAGCAAUCACUAACAGAAAGGAAUAUUCCCUUCCUUUCAUUUAGAAUCCCUGGCAUGUAAGUUGUACAAUUAAUGCUAAAGCAUAUAAAGUCUUUAAGCUGAUAGUAUCUGUAAUCAAAUAAUGAAAAAAGAGGAAAGCAGUUAAAUGAACACACUAUUCAGGGUCAAAUAUAUUCAGCAAAAAGCCGUAGUGGGUCUUUGAUCAUGGUUAGAUUCACAGUGAUAUCAAACAGUUGGUUCUCAUGUAACAGCUAAAUGUUUCAGAUUUUGUUUUUAUUAAAUUUGGCAGUUUCACACUGAGAUCUGUAUUCCUAGUGAAUAAAAGACAGCUACUAUGUGAGGAGGGAUUCCAUUUUCACAAUGGCAAGGAAGUCAGAUAUUUCAGGAACAUGGGCCACAAAAUGUACUCCUUUCACAGCGUUCUCCUAUUCUGAACUGUGCAGUCAUCUAUUAAAUUUUCUAAUAGAUAUUUGUGUAAGGUGUAUGUAUGCUUGUGCAAUUAUAAAAAAGCAGUUUUGGAAAACAGUGUAUUUAUUAAAGAAAAUUACUUAUGGGGCAUGUACAAAACUGUAAAAAAAAAAAAAAACUAAAAAAAAAAAAAAAAAAAAAAAAAAACACAUUCGAUUUGCCCAGUAAAGUUGUUUUUGUGAAAUUUCUGUGUUGUUGAAUAAAGGACUUUAGUAUUCAAA
rnacentral:lncRNA from 1 species